AUCCAUCUGAUAAGUCCCAAAUAGGACGAAACGCACAUCCUGUAU
rnacentral:hammerhead_ribozyme from 1 species